CAAAAACCUGUUUAUAGCACAGUCUAUUUCUUUCAUUUUCCUUGAAAAUACCAAACUGGUUGUUACAGAGACCCAAGGCUGAAAUAUUCCAAAGCAACGUUUCACUCAUCCUUCCUCCCAGAUUCUUUUCUCUGCUGCAGUCAAUUCCCCCUUUUUCCAUUUGUAGAGACAAAAGGGAACAUUCUAUAACCACUGGCCUCUGUCCAGGAACACAGGAGAAAAUGAAGCAAGGCAAACAACAGAGAAAAGUGAACAACAAAAGAACAAACUCAAACGAAACUGCUUAACAAUCCUACAGUGCAGACCUGGCAGCCCUCUUCUUCCUUCCUGGAAUGCAA
rnacentral:lncRNA from 10 species